GCGCUACCGCUGCUGCGUCAGGUAAGGCGCGGGACGGCGGCGCAGCCCCUUCAGCAGCGCAGCCGGCUCGCUGACUGACGGCCUCCGUCACCUUCGGUCGCAACGAGGCAGCAGCGGGAAGCCUCACGGGGUAAGGCACGACAGCUUAGUUCGGUAUCGUGGCUUCAACAAAGCCGAAGAGUCAGGACGCGGCCGUCUCUGGCUUGCGAGCCGGCACCGCUCACUGCAGCGCUACUGUCUCGAACGAUCUGCACCUUCGUGACUUUUUACAGUCUAAUGCAUAACAGAACAGCGGCGCUUUCAAGUGUGUGAAGCUCUUCCCUCCGUUUUCUCCUUUUACGCAGACAGACACUACUGUUCUCUACCUUUUCAGGAGGUAAACAUAGUGUGUGCUUGCCGUGUGACAGAAACCCUGGAGUGAGGUUGGAACCCCGGCGUCAGGAACCAAAGCAUAGCAAGGUGACCGCAAGUGGUUUGACUGCAUGAGAACUUUACAACUUUUCAGUGGGACUUGAAACCAAUAUGGCAAUCAACUAUUACAACUAAAGAUGAACCAGUAUUUUGCCAGAGUAACAACCUGUAUCUUAGGUAAUCGUAACUUGCAUGACUCUUCUGUUCAGACAAAUUUCUUCAGUAAUUUCAAUUGAUUGUAUGUUUUGUAAUGAACUGCACUGCAUUACUGUGCAUUAUUAAAUACUGCAUCCAUCCAUGUAGUAAACUAAUAAGUUACUACAUGAUGUGAUUCUGUAUACCUUCAUCCUUCUUUACAACAGUUAUUACAAAAUAGUAUCUUCAGCUAACACGCUAAAACUCUGAGGUUUGAACUUAAUGAAAAGCUUCCCUAGUGUUAAAAGACUGUUCAAUUUCCAGAUUUCAUAUCAUUCUGGGUCUCUGCUUAUUCUACCAGCCACUAGAAAAUGAAGAGUAACACAAGAGGGCAAAGGACACCAAUUACGUAGUAGAAGACACCAAAGAGCACCUUUUAAUUAAUGCUGAUCCAGGCUGGACUCAAGCUAGUGAUGUACUGCUGAUGAAUUCUGUCAAGCAUUAGCUUUACAUUAAAGAAUUCAGACAGCAUAGAAUGCUAAAGCUUACUAAGACUGAAGACCCAUUUGGAUCCUCCAUCAGCAAAGUUUCCAACACACUGACACCUGGGCUAGAUAGCCUCACAACGGAGCCCCUGGCAGCAAUUCUGAAUGCUGACAUAGUCUGGCAGUUGAAGGACAGUUGCAGCCGGGAGCUCUGUAAGGAUGUGGCCAGCCAUGGAGGACAAGCUUAGGCUUGCACCCUGGCUACUGCAGAUUGUCUUAAAAUUUUUAAUGAAUCUUUCUGUAUUUUGUGUUUGUUUGUGAAACAGUUAACUACAUGAAUAUCUUCUAUCCUCUAUGUUAGCAUUCCGUUAGCACUUAUUAACCAAUGAUGUAUGGGUUGCUGAGCUACUUGUCAUUGGAGGCUGUGUUACUUGAGGUCCUUAUUAUCUAGACCGUAACCAGAGCACCUGGGUUCUGUUGUGUAUAGGAUGAGUUACGGGGCAACUUGGCAAGGUAAAUACCUAGCCAUCCAACUUGGCAAUAAAACUUAUGGGUUUUGUUUCAAAA